CGCCAGACGAAGUUCCGCCCCCAUUCAAUUUCAACGGGAGCACGCGGAGAAAUGCGCAGGGGAUUGUGGGAAGCACACAUCAUCCAGCCCGAGUUCACCGAUCUCUUCAACUACAGUGUACCUGUGGAACCAAGAAAGUCUGUUUGCCUACAGACACUUUGCAUUGGCAGCGCUAAGGGGUGUUAAGCCCCCAGAGCAGACUCGGAUCGAGCCAACCACAUCCCUGUGUCAACUCCCCCGCUUUCCCCAAGCAAUGUUGAUGUAUUUGAAGUGUUUCCAGUCGAUAAAGUAUGUUACAAUAUUA